UUCAAUAUUGUUGAGCAUGAAUACUUCCGUGACUUCAUCAAAUCCUUGCGCCCUUCAUUUCCUCUGAAGAAUCGUAACACUGUUAAAAAUGAAAUAGUGGCUAUGUUUCAAACAGAGAAGGAUAAGUUGUAUGAGUAUUUCAAAACAAUUAACUGUCAUUUUAGCACCACAAUGGACAUGUGGACAUCAAAUCAGAAUAAAGGGUACAUGUGUGUCACUGUGCAUUGGAUUGAUGAUGAAUGGAUUAUUCAGAAAAGGAUCAUCAAAUUUAUGCAUGUAGAAGGGCGCCAUACUGGUCUUAACAUGUCUGGAGAAUUUCUUGCUUGCAUUUUGCGAUGGUUUAUUGAGAAAAAAAUGUUUUCUCUUACUUUGGACAAUGCAUCUUCAAAUGAAGUUUGUGUUAAACAUGUCAUUAGUAAACUGAAAGAGUACUCC
rnacentral:rRNA from 1 species